GACAGAGGUGCCGAGCGUUAGUCGGAAUCACUGGGCUUAAAGCGUGUGUAGGCGGACUGGUAAGUACCUUGUGAAAUCCCACGGCUCAACCGUGGAACUGCUCGGUAUACUGCUUGUCUUGAGCCAACUAGGGGCAGCCGGAACAGACGGUGGAGCGGUGAAAUGCGUAGAUAUCGUCUGGAACGCCAAAGGUGAAAACAGGCUGCUGGGGUUGUGCUGACGCUGAGACACGAAAGCCAGGGGAGCAAACGGG
rnacentral:rRNA from 1 species